AUACGUAGGGGGCAAGCGUUAUCCGGAUUUACUGGGUGAAAAGGGAGCGUAGACGGCAAAGCAAGUCUGAAGUGAAAGCCCCGGGCUCAACCCGGGCAUUGCUUUGGAAACUGUUUAGCUAGAGUGCAGGAGAGGUAAGCGGAAUUCCUAGUGUAGCGGUGAAAUGCGUAGAUAUGAGGAGGAACACCGGCGGCGAAAGCGGCUUACUGGACUGUAACGGACGUGGAGGCGCGAAAGCGUGGGGAGCAAACAGGAUUAGAUACCCUGGGAGUCCACGCCGUAAACGAUGAUUACUAGGUGUUGGUUGUCAUAGACAAUCGGUGCCGCGGCAAACGCAAUAAGUAAUCCACCUGGGGAGUACGUUCGCAAGAAUGAAACUCAAAGGAAUUGACGGGG
rnacentral:rRNA from 1 species